AGCGAACGCUGGCGGCAGGCCUAACACAUGCAAGUCGAACGAAGUCUUCGGACUUAGUGGCGGACGGGUGAGUAACACGUGGGAACGUGCCUUUAGGUUCGGAAUAACUCAGGGAAACUUGUGCUAAUACCGAAUGUGCCCUUCGGGGGAAAGAUUUAUCGCCUUUAGAGCGGCCCGCGUCUGAUUAGCUAGUUGGUGAGGUAAUGGCUCAUCAAGGCUACGAUCAGUAGCUGGUCUGAGAGGAUGACCAGCCACAUUGGGACUGAGACACGGCCCAAACUCCUACGGGAGGCAGCAGUGGGGAAUCUUGCGCAAUGGGCGAAAGCCUGACGCAGCCAUGCCGCGUGAAUGAUGAAGGUCUUAGGAUUGUAAAAUCCUUUCACCGGGGACGAUAAUGACGGUACCCGGAGAAGAAGCCCCGGCUAACUUCGUGCCAGCCGCCGCGGUAACAC
rnacentral:rRNA from 1 species